GAUGAACGCUGGCGGCGUGCCUAAUACAUGCAAGUCGAGCGAACGGACGAGAAGCUUGCUUUUCUGAUGUUAGCGGCGGACGGGUGAGUAACACGUGGAUAACCUACCUAUAAGACUGGGAUAACUUCGGGAAACCGGAGCUAAUACCGGAUAAUAUUUUGAACCGCAUGGUUCAAAAGUGAAAGACGGUCCUGCUGUCACUUAUAGAUGGAUCCGCGCUGCAUUAGCUAGUUGGUAAGGUAACGGCUUACCAGGGCAACGAUGCAUAGCCGACCUGAGAGGGUGAUCGGCCACACUGGAACUGAGACACGGUCCAGACUCCUACGGGAGGCAGCAGUAGGGAAUCUUCCGCAAUGGGCGAAAGACUGACGGAGCAACGCCGCGUGAGUGAUGAAGGUCUUCGGAUCGUAAAACUCUGUUAUUAGGGAAGAACAUAUGUGUAAGUAACUGUGCACAUCUUGACGGUACCUAAUCAGAAAGCCACGGCUAACUACGUG
rnacentral:rRNA from 1 species